GGACUACUGAUGAGCUCUAAUUAGGGCGAAACUCGAGUCUAGUGC
rnacentral:hammerhead_ribozyme from 1 species